rnacentral:rRNA from 1 species
AACGAACGCUGGCGGCAGGCUUAACACAUGCAAGUCGAGCGAGACCUUCGGGUCUAGCGGCGGACGGGUGCGUAAAGCGUGGGAACGUGCCCUUCUCUACGGAAUAGCCCCGGGAAACUGGGAGUAAUACCGUAUACGCCCUUUGGGGGAAAGAUUUAUCGGAGAAGGAUCGGCCCGCGUUGGAUGAGGUAGUUGGUGGGGUAAUGGCCCACCAAGCCGACCAUCCAUAGCUGGCUACAGAGGAUGAUCAGCAACACUGGGACUGAGACACGGCCCCGACUCCUACGGGAGGAAUCAGUGGGGAAUCUUAGACAAUGGAGGCAACCCUGAUCUAUCCAUGCCGCGUGAGUUAUGAAGGCCUUAGGGUUGUAAAGCUCUUUAAGCUGCGAAGAUAAUGACGGUACCAGCAGAAGAAGCCCCGGCUAACUCCGUGCCAGCCGCCGCAGUAA